AAGUCGUAACAAGGUUUCCGUAGGUGAACCUGCGGAAGGAUCAUUAACACGUAUCCACGUAUCAAACUCAACCGUGCACCUAAACCUUCCCUCUCAACCGGUCAACGGUUCGAUCCAGUGUCCAUGAUGGGUGUGAUUCGUCACACGGCACUGUCGAACUACCGAGCCUUUGCAGCUCGAACGUUUUCCGGUCGGUAGGCUAAACCCCUUUUUAGCUUCAUCCCAUCAUCUUCUUUCUAUUAUGAGAGAUGGUGGCGAUGGAGAUAAGAAACCCUAUUCACCCCUUCAACACAUUUGACUGAUGCGCAGAGAGAUAGCGAAAGCUAUCUUCUACUGAGAUUUUAUCUAAACUAAGCACAACUCUUAGCAAUGGAUAUCUUGGUUCUC
rnacentral:misc_RNA from 1 species